UGAAACAUUCGGCCAUUUUGAAGCUUAAUUCAAGGUUGGUUUUUGUUUGGUUUUUGAUAAUUUUUACGUUUUUGAGAUCAUUGCUUUGAAUACUUCAAAACCCAUAUCUUAAUUUUGUGAAUUGUUGAUGAUUUUGAGAAAUGCCAUUGAUGAAUGCUUGAGCUUUGUGAUAGUUGAUGAUGGAAUAUGAAAGAUAUGUGAAAGAUUAACAUGUCGUGUCUUUGAGUUUUUGAUGAAUUUGAGUAAUUAGGGUUUAAUUGUAAAAAUAAAUUUUUGAGGGACUAAAAUGUGAAAUAAAUGAAAUAUGUGGGCUUGUAUGGACACUAGGAAUAUUCGGCCCUUAAGGAGUGAAGUCAAAUUUUGUGUAUUUUGUGUUUUGAGCAAAAAGGACUAAAUUGUAAAAAGUGUGAAAUGUUAGGGGCAAAAUUGUAAUUUGCCUAUUUAUGUGUUUUUAGGUUAAAUUGAAUAGAAUGAUGUUUAAAUAAACUUAAUUUGAAUAUGCUUAGAUUAAGAAUUAAAGAAAUCGGAUUUGGAUCGGGGAAAUACAAAAGUGGUCGAGUAGCCGAUUUAACAGUCGACGACAUCCAAGGUAAGUCUAAUAGCAAUUUAAAUGUUAUUAAAUUGAAAUUUAUAUAAAUAUAUCUAUCAUACAUUUAGUAAGCUGGAACUAAAAGUAUAUAAAUUGAAUAAAACUUGGUGAUUUUUCUAUGUGAUAGCCGAACAUAGAAAUUAAUUUUGGGAGGUUGAUAUUAAUGGUAUAAAUUACAUGUAUAUUAGCUAAAGUAUGCUUUAAGUUCAAUGAUAUGAAACUAAUAGUAGAAUGUACAUGGAUAUGUAGUUCGAAUGUAAGAUUUAAUUUCUUGAGUUGAAUUUAAAGUUAUGAAUCAUAUAUAUAAAGUUUGAAUGUAUGAUACAAGUUCUUUGAUUCUUUGAGUUGAACUUAAUAUUAUGAAUUAUAUAUAUAUAUGCACAUAUGGUUCGAAUAUAUAUAUUUAAAGUUCUUGAGCUGUAUUUAAUGUAUGAAUUUUAUAUACAUAUGUGGUUCAAAUAUAGGUUACAAAGUUCUUGAGCUGAAUUUAAUGUAUGAAUUUUACUUACAUAUGUGGUUCGAAUAUAGGUUACAAAUUCUUUGAGCUGAAUUUUAAUGUUGUAAAUUAUACAUAUGUGGUUCGAAUGUUUGUUUGCUAUGGAGAAUUGAAUAUAAUUCAAUUCUUACGGAGAUACGGUUAUUGAGUAAGACUUAGGUAAACAUAAAGAAUUAUACGAAAGAUCAUCUUUGUAUAUGAGAUUUUCAGGCUUAAUGCCUAGCAGGCUUGAUGCCGGUGGAUUAUUUCAGGCUUAAUGCCUAGCAGGCUUGAUGCCGGUGGAUUAUUUCAGGCUUAAUGCCUAGCAGGCUUGAUGCCGGUGGAUUAUUUCAGGCUUAAUGCCUAGCAGGCUUGAUGCCGGUGGAUUAUUUCAGGCUUAAUGCCUAGCAGGCUUGAUGCCGGUGAAUUAUUUUAGACUUUAUGUCUAGCAGGCUUUGUACCGGUGAAAUGAAUCGGGCUUUGUGCCUAGCAGGCUUUAUGCCGGUGUUUUAUAUAGGGCUCUAUGUUUUAUAAAUUUUAUAUGAGCAAUAGUAAAAGCAAAUAAAUGUGUUAAGAAAGUUAAAUUAUUCAGGUAUGUGUUAGCCAUUUGCUUAAUUGCUGAUGAGGUAAGUUGAUUAUUUUAAUUUGAUAAUAGUUUCAAAUGAAAUAUAGAGUAUGAGUUAAUCAUUUGAGUAUAAGCAUGUUUUAGCAUAAUGAUUUAUUGAAUAUUCGGCUUUGCUAAAUAUUUAUGUGUAUUUGGCCAUAUGGUUUGUUUAUAUGAAAAUACAAUGUGAUUUUUAUUAAAGUGUUAUAUGGUACAAAAUAUUAUGAUAUUUGGUUUAUUUUAACUUAAUGAUGGAAUAAGUAUUAAUAUAUAUAAAUGAAUUUUUGCUUAUGACUUACUAAGCUUUAAAUAGCUUACUGUGUGUAUGUUGUUCUUCGUUUUAUAGAUUUUUGGAAGUUGGUUACGAGCUCGGGGAUCGUCAGAGAAGAUUAUCACACUAUCGACUCCUCUCGGUAUUUUGUAAAUUUUGAAUUCGAUCUUAUGGCAUGUAUAGCGUAGAUGAAAUACUUGAAUUUAGAUUAUGUAAUAUUAAGCCAUGCGAAAAUGGCUUAAUUUUCUUGUUUGUGUUCGGUUUUGG
rnacentral:lncRNA from 1 species